rnacentral:rRNA from 1 species
CCUACGGGAGGCAGCAGUAGGGAAUCUUCCACAAUGGGCGAAAGCCUGAUGGAGCAACGCCGCGUGAGUGAUGAAGGCCUUCGGGUUGUAAAACUCUGUCAUUCGGGACGAACCGGAGUCUGAGGAAAUGCAGACUCUCUGACGGUACCGGAGGAGGAAGCCCCGGCUAACUACGUGCCAGCAGCCGCGGUAAUACGUAGGGGGCAAGCGUUGUCCGGAUUCACUGGGCGUAAAGCGCGCGCAGGCGGUGAUGUAAGUCUGAGGUGAAAACCCGAAGCUCAACUUCGGGACUGCCUUGGAUACUGCGUCACUUGAGGAUAGGAGAGGCAAGGGGAAUUCCACGUGUAGCGGUGAAAUGCGUAGAGAUGUGGAGGAACACCUGUGGCGAAGGCGCCUUGCUGGCCUAUUUCUGACGCUGAGGCGCGAAAGCGUGGGGAGCAAACAGGAUUAGAUACCCUGGUAGUCCACGCUGUAAACGAUGAGUGCUAGGUGUAGGUGGGCUCAUACCACUCUGUGCGACGACUACGACAUAAGCACNCCGCCCGUCGGGGUAGGUACGGUCGGCGACGACGUACGAACGUACGAAACGUAGUAAGUUAGGUUACGGACGUUGGAGGACGUUGGCCGACGGACGACGACGAGGGGAGGUAGGG